GACGAACGCUGGCGGCGUGCUUAACACAUGCAAGUCGAACGGGAUGAUCUUAAAGCUUGCUUUUAGAGAAUCUAGUGGCAAACGGGUGAGUAACACGUAGACAACCUGCCGACAGGAUGGGGACAACAUUCCGAAAGGAAUGCUAAUACCGAAUGAAGUCAGAGGAGGGCAUCCUCCUCUGAUGAAAGAUGGCCUCUGAAUAUGCUAUCACCUGUUGAUGGGUCUGCGUCUGAUUAGCUGGUUGGUGAGGUAACGGCUCACCAAGGCGACGAUCAGUAGCCGGUCUGAGAGGAUGAACGGCCACAUUGGGACUGAGACACGGCCCAGACUCCUACGGGAGGCAGCAGUGGGGAAUCUUCCGCAAUGGGCGCAAGCCUGACGGAGCAACGCCGCGUGAGUGAAGAAGGUCUUCGGAUCGUAAAGCUCUGUUGACGGGGACGAACGUGCCUAGUGCGAAUAGUAUUAG
rnacentral:rRNA from 1 species